rnacentral:rRNA from 1 species
CGUAGGGUGCGAGCGUUAAUCGGAAUUACUGGGUGUAAAGCGUGCGCAGGCGGUUUAGUAAGACAGGCGUGAAAUCCCCGGGCUCAACCUGGGAACUGCGCUUGUGACUGCUAAGCUAGAGUACGGCAGAGGGGGGUGGAAUUCCACGUGUAGCAGUGAAAUGCGUAGAGAUGUGGAGGAACACCAAUGGCGAAGGCAGCCCCCUGGGUCGAUACUGACGCUCAUGCACGAAAGCGUGGGUAGCAAACAGGAUUAGAUACCCUGGUAGUCCACGCCCUAAACGAUGUCAACUAGGUGUUGGGAGGGUAAAACCUUUUAGUACCGGAGCUAACGCGUGAAGUUGACCGCCUGGGGAGUACGGCCGCAAGGUUA